UACUUGUGGAUGUAAUUUUUUGCAGUGUUGAUUUGAGAAGAUUAAUUGAGCAGAACUUCAUCCCACCCACCUCGCAUAUGACUAACUAUGUUGUUCUUAAGUUCGGCAAUCAUUCUGAUCACAAAACGGAGGAUAUGGUGAACAGCAACGGAAUACUAACAGAUCAAUUGGUUGAUGAAGAACCAUCUUUUCACAAAUAUCUCGAAAGCAAAGAGUUUGCUGACAAGUAUUGAAGGUACGAAGAUGGGUUUAAGCAGUUUCUUGUGGAGAGGUACUUCUCUGGAGAUGAUAUGUAUGAGGAGAUAACAACAGUCGAUGGUGCAACCAUUUAUUGAUCGUCUUAUUUAAUGUACGGGAACCCGAGGUUGAUGAGUAUCUUAAAGUGGUGGAGAGGCAUGCUUAUGGUUUGCUUCCUGAAAUGAAAAAAGAUGAGUAUGAAGUAAGAGAGGAUCCAAAUCUAAACAAAUGGAUGGAGGGAGGACUGGAUGUUAUCAUGUUGCAGUUCUUGAAUAUUGAUGGGAUCAGAACCAUAGGCAGUGUUAUGGGGCUGAGCAUUGCUCUCGAUUACUAUGGCGGGCAGGUAACUAUGUUAAUCCAUACAUAUAUAUAUUGGAAUGUGAAGAAUGAAUUAAUUAAAAAGAAAAAUAACCGUGGGUGAGCAAUCUGUUUUGUAUAGUAGCAGAAUUUACUGACAUAAACCGUCGGUUGGAGAAAACAGGAACAUUUACAAUGACUAGGAAAAAGCUGUUCCAGUUGGUUGGAAGGUCUAAUUCUUAUCUGGCUGAUGUGAUUCUGAAGCUUGGUCUGUUUGAGAGGUAAAGAAGUCGAGAGAGGGAAGAAGAAUGGAUGCCCUGUCUUGGACAAAGCAUCCGCAACAAGGAUCUUUUUUAAGAUGUGUCCGAAAAUGGGUAUUCAAUCGAAAAGUUCAGGGCGCGGAGAACAAAGGCGUCUUUCAUUAUUCACAAGCAGGCACAAAAAUGGGAAGAACAAAGAUGCCAAUGAGAAAUCGAACAAAGAAAAGCUCAAAUGUGUAUCAUUUCCGCCAGGGGCAGAUGCUAUUCUACAUGACUUAAUUACUCAUUAUCCACCUUGUGACGGAGACACUGCUGCCACAUCAUUUAACAAGUACUCCGGGCACUCGGGUAAACAAGGACAAUGGAAAGAUGAUUUUUUCGGGAAACCAAAGAUUAGCAGUGAAGAGAUUCUAGAAAUGGUGGCGUCUUUGAGUUCUAGACUUAAGAAGGACAAAGCUCUUAAGGAGAUCGCGAAGCUGCGGUCAAAGAUUCCCAUCACUUCCUUUAGAGACGCAAUUAGAAGGUUCUUUUUUUUACACCAGAUGUUGGACAUGUAAAUUUAUGUUACCAAGCUAAUUAUUUUCCUUAUAAAUUAGUUUUAUUUUAAUCAAACACAUCUUUUCCUUUC